CCGGAGCUUGCUCCACCGGGAAAAGAGGAGUGGCGAACGGGUGAGUAACACGUGGGUAACCUGCCCAUCAGAAGGGGAUAACACUUGGAAACAGGUGCUAAUACCGUAUAACAAUCGAAACCGCAUGGUUUCGUUUUGAAAGGCGCUUUACGGUGCCGCUGAUGGAUGGACCCGCGGUGCAUUAGCUAGUUGGUGAGGUAACGGCUCACCAAGGCCACGAUGCAUAGCCGACCUGAGAGGGUGAUCGGCCACAUUGGGACUGAGACACGGCCCAAACUCCUACGGGAGGCAGCAGUAGGGAAUCUUCGGCAAUGGACGAAAGUCUGACCGAGCAACGCCGCGUGAGUGAAGAAGGUUUUCGGAUCGUAAAACUCUGUUGUUAGAGAAGAACAAGGGUGAGAGUAACUGUUCACCCCUUGACGGUAUCUAACCAGAAAGCCACGGCUAACUACGUGCCAGCGAGCCGCGGUAAUACGUAGGUGGCAAGCGUUGUCCGGAUUUAUUGGGCGUAAAGCGAGCGCAGGCGGUUUCUUAAGUCUGAUGUGAAAGCCCCCGGCUCAACCGGGGGAGGGUCAU
rnacentral:rRNA from 1 species